AGAAUUUCUUCCUAACAUCUAGUUCAAAUCUUCCAGUUUGAAGCCGUUCCCCUUGUCUUGUGCCUACAUGAAACGUCCCUCUCCCACUCUCUUGUGGUAUUGGGAGGAGACUCCCUCUCCUUCAGGUAUUGGAAAGCUCUAAGGUCUCCCUGGAGUCUUCUCUUUGUCAAGGUUGAGCAACCCCAGCUCUUUCACUCUGCCUUCAUAGUAACCCUCCUUUGGACUAGCUCUAAAAGGUCCAUCUUUUUCUUUUGUUGUGAGCUGGAUGCAGCACUCUAGGUGACAUCUCAGCAGAGCAGAGUGGCAGAAUUCCCUCCUUUGUUCUGCUGCCCACAGUGUUUUGGAUGCAGCUUUGGAUGCAAGCACACACUUACAGGUCACAUCAAGCUUCUCGUCAACCAACAGCCCCAAGGCCUUCUCCUCAAUGCUCCACUCAAUCCAUUCUCCUCUCAGUCUGUAUUUGUGCUAUGGAUUAUUCCAGCCCAGGUGCAGGUCCUUGAACUUGGCCUUGUUAGACAUCAUGAGAUUCACAGGGAGCCACCUCUCAAACCUGUCCUCUGGAAGGCAUCCCUCCCCUCCAGCAUGUUGACGGCACCACACAGCUUGGUGUCAGCACCCUUGCAGAGGGUGCACUCAAUCCCAAUGUCCAUGGCACUGACAAAGAGGUUAAAUGCCCCUGGUUCCAGUACUGACCCCUGAGAAACACCACUCCUCCGCUUGGACAUUGAGCCACAGCUCUUUGAGUACACCAUAUGGUCAGUUCUCCAUCCACUGAGUGGUCAAUGCACCUGUCUAGAGACAAGGAUGUUACGUGGAACAUAGCAACAACAACAACCACAAUAGAGUCAAAUGACUUGCACAGGUCCAGGUGUAGACACAAGAUGCUCUUCCCUUAUCCACCAAGUCUAUCAUCCUGCUGCAAGAGACCACCAGAUUUGUCAGGCACAUUUUGCCACGUUGGCUGUCACCAGUCACCUCCUUUAUUUUCCUGUGCAUUAGCAUAGUUUCCAGGUGGAUUUGCUCCAUAAUCUUUCUGGACAUUCAGAAGGCCAGCAGAUGCUGCCAGCUGUGCUCUCUGGAAGAUUGCUGCUUGAACAGCAGCGCAGACUGGAAGGAGUGCUGUGAAGGGAGGCAGACUUGCACCUCAGCUCCUGUCUCUGGGUGCUGGAAACAGCCACUGGGGCAGGAUUCAUCCCACCCAUCUGUAGCUGUUUGUUCAGAAGAGGAGCUGCAUGAGACUGGUCAGAGGAGAAAUAGAGGCAUCUAGAGGAGUCACAAAAUGGGGCUCAGGCACAUGAAUGUCACCAGUGUUCACUUUACCCUGAGCUCCUGAGGCCAUUUUCAACAGAAGGGGUGAAGACCUGCUUAGGGCUCCUCAGAGCUGGUUUGUGUACAGCCAGCAGCAGUGGGACACUGACCUCAUCCAAAUUAGCAAGCGGAGGCCAGGCAAGUCUCCUGAGGGCACCUGGAGUGGCAAUAGAUGUUGAU